CUUGACCUCAUUUCAUGGAUCAGUGAACAAGGUAAAGUUUUCGUGGUCAAGUCCAUACCUGAGAUACUAUAAGCAAUAGGUCUACUAUAUUUGGUGUAUGUAAUGAUAGUAAGGUGUACAUGUCCAACUGGCAGGUGUCAUCUGACCUUGACCUCAUUUUCAUGGUUCAGUGGUCAUAGUUUAGUUUUUGUGUUUUGGUCUGUUUUUCUAAUACUGUAUGCAAUAGGUCAACUGUAUUUGGUGUAUGGAAAUAUUUUACGAUGUUCAUGUCAGUCUUGCAAGUUUUAUUUGACCUUGACCUCAUUUUCACAGUUCAUUGCUCAGUGUUAAGUUUUUGUGUUUUGGUCUGUUUUUCUUAAACUAUUAGCAAUAGGUCAACUAUAUUUGUUGUAUGGAAGAAUUGUUAGCUGUACAUGCCUGCCUAGCAUGGUUCAUCUGACCUUGACCUCAUUUUCAUGGUUCAUUGGUCAAUGUUUAGUUUAUUUGGUUAAUGUUAAGUUUAUGUGACAGUUGUAAUAAAGCUUUAUAUUUAGGAAUAUCAACAUAAUAUCAAUGAUUAGUAAAGAAGGCGAGACAUUUCAGCGUGUGCACUCUUGUUGUGUUUUGGUCUGUUUUUCUUAAACUAUAAGCAAUAGGUCAACUAUAUUUGUUGUAUGGAAGAAUUGUGAGCUGUACAUGCCUGCCUAGCAUGGUUCAUCUGACCUUGACCUCAUUUUCAUGGUUCAUUGGUCAAUGUUAAGUUUACUUUGGUUAAUGUUAAGUUUAUGUGACAGUUGUAAUAAAGCUUUAUAUUUAGGACUAUCAACAUAAUAUCAAUGAUUAGUAAAGAAGGCGAGACAUUUCAGCGUGUGCACUCUUGUUAUCAAACAAGAGGAUGUCUUGGGUACUAAAAAUGGUCAAUGAUUAAAUUUGGGGAUUCAAGUAGAAAAGUUCAAUAGCGCAAUACCCUUUUUCUUUUAAACAGGAAUAUAUGUGUCAGUGGUAACAAUGAACACAACAAUGUUCAAAAUCGAGUGAAAACACCGUUCACGCGAAUCAACGAUGCUAAACGUCUUUUCAUUGCAUUGUCCAAACGUGUAAUUAGUUUUUGUAGUAGUCUUAGCCUUUCCUGGUGCAAGGUUUGAUAUAAAUCAUCGAUUGAGCGAAUAUGGGACAUGAUUGGUCGUCGUGGUACCUUAGAGAGUAUCACUAAAUCAGAAUUAGCUCAAGCUUUGCAGCAAAAAAUGGAAAAGACUACCAGAAUACAAAGUUAACGUUUGAUCCAUUGAAUGAGAAGAUGAUUAUCAUCGAUGAUUCGUUUGAACGGUGAUCUCACUCGGUAUUGGACAUGUUUAUUGUAACCAGACACAUAUUCUCGUUUUCCAAAUUUUAAGAAUUGUGCUAUCGAUCUUUACUACUUGUAAGCAUCCAAAGUAAAACAUUUUCCAUUUUUAAUACCCAAGACAUCCUUUGUCAAAAAAUAUAGUUUAUUAGAUUCGUUAUUUUUCGUAACCCCAUUUAAAUUAUUCAUGCAUGUGGUCUUGUCAAUAACAAAAAUAGCCAUAUAUAUAUACUUUCGGUGACGAAAUAAUAGUAUAUGUUAUAAUGUUUUGGCUUGUGAGUAAAAUCAGGUUGGAGCGAUAUUUGUAUCCAGGUGUAUUUAUGUAAUUACCAGGUUGUAAGGUAAUACAUCGACAAUCAUGAUAAUUCGAACCUUUUGUUUAACACAGGAUGUAAGUAUAACGACUCUGUUUUCCUCCAUCAUGAUGCUAAGUCUUUCUAUAAAAUCUGUUAAUGGUAUUUAUUUUAUUUUAGUGUAACGUAUUGUAUGUUUUUUUACUUUCUUUCAAUGCAAAUUCACUUCCACUGUUUAUGCGAUAAAAGUGUGCUACGUUGUUUCAGAGUAUGUUUUUGAUAUAUUAUGUAUACAUUUUGCGUAUGAGUAUUUUGUAAAAUGGAAAAAUAUCUCCUUGUGAUUCGAAGUUUUUAAUAAAAAGUUUGUAUAAUUGUAA